GACGAACGCUGGCGGCGUGCUUAACACAUGCAAGUGGUGCGACGAACCAGGGCUUGCCCUGGGGCCAAGCCGCGAACGGGUGAGUAACACGUGAGUAACCUGCCCCGAUGACCGGGACAACCCGAGGAAACUCGGGCUAAUACCGGAUGUGGCGCACACUCGUAAGUUUGUGCGCUAAAGGAAGCUUCGGCCUCCGCAUUGGGAGGGGCUCGCGGCCCAUUAGCUUGUUGGUGGGGUAACGGCCUACCAAGGCAACGAUGGGUAGCUGGUCUGAGAGGACGAUCAGCCACACUGGGACUGAGACACGGCCCAGACUCCUACGGGAGGCAGCAGUGGGGAAUCUUGCGCAAUGCGCGAAAGCGUGACGCAGCAACGCCGCGUGGGGGAAGACGGCCUUCGGGUUGUAAACCCCUUUCAGGAGGGACGAAGGUUCACCGGUGAACAGGCGUGUGGAUUGACGGUACCUCCAGAAGAAGCUCCGGCUAACUACGUGCCAGCAGCCGCGGUAAUACGUAGGGGGCAAGCGUUGUCCGGAAUCAUUGGGCGUAAAGCGCGCGUAGGCGGCCUUGUAAGUCCGUUGUGAAAGUCAAAGGCUCAACCUUUGAAAGCCGAUGGAUACUG
rnacentral:rRNA from 1 species